rnacentral:rRNA from 1 species
AGUGAACGCUGGCGGCAGGCCUAACACACGCAAGUCGAGCGGCAGCGCGUCCGACCACCCUCGGGUGGUCGGAUGGCGGCGAGCGGCGGACGGGUGAGGAAUGCAUCGGAAUCUGCCUCGUUGUGGGGGAUAACGUAGGGAAACUUACGCUAAUACCGCAUACGACCUACGGGUGAAAGUGGGGGACCUUCGGGCCUCACGCGAUGAGAUGAGCCGAUGCCGGAUUAGCUAGUUGGCGGGGUAAAGGCCCACCAAGGCGACGAUCCGUAGCUGGUCUGAGAGGAUGAUCAGCCACACCGUAGAACUGAGACGACGGUCCAGACCUCCGUACGGGA